rnacentral:rRNA from 1 species
AGAACGAACGCUGGCGGCAGGCCUAAUACAUGCAAGUCGAACGCCGUAGCAAUACGGAGUGGCAGACGGGUGAGUAACACGUGGGAACCUUCCCAAUGGUACGGAAUAGCCCGGGGAAACCCGGAGUAAUACCGUAUACGCCCGAAAGGGGAAAGAUUUAUCGCCAUUGGAUGGGCCCGCGUCGGAUUAGCUAGUUGGUGAGGUAACGGCUCACCAAGGCGACGAUCCGUAGCUGGUCUGAGAGGUUGAUCAGCCACACUGGGACUGAGACACGGCCCAGACUCCUACGGGAGGCAGCAGUAGGGGAUAUUGGACAAUGGGCGAAAGCCUGAUCCAGCCAUGCCGCGUGAGUGACGAAGGCCUUCGGGUUGUAAAGCUCUUUUGGCGGGGACGAUAAUGACGGUACCCGCAGAAUAAGCCCGGCUAACUUCGCACCAGCAGCCGC